rnacentral:sRNA from 1 species
ACGGGACACCUGCAUCUGCCAACAAGACUGGAAGCAGGUUGGCGCAUGGACAUUUUCCCAGAAAGGGACAGAGACGGCGAAGUUUGACGGUCUGGAAAGCAGAGACCAGCAGGGCUGACUGCUUGGGAGGAGGAGAAUGCUAUUUAUUUCAGCACCAAAUAUCCGGACAGCGCCUCUCGGGAGGUCCGAGAAGAGAACCGCGAUCUGUUUCAGCACCGGGGCUCAGGACAGUUCCCAGCGGGCUCCGUUUCGUCUCCAGAACCCUGGACAGCUCCUCCAGCUUGGAAUGCACUCCCUCCACCUCCACCCAGAGCUCCCCACAACUGACCCUGCCUUCUUCUGCAAGCUCCAUUUCAUCAAGGGAAACGAUCCUUAUUGCCUCACCAUUUCCCACGUGAAGUCUGUAUUGACAUUCUCAUAGACCUGGGAUAUUGUGUCUGCAGCACACAGUCCAAUUAUUUUCAUGUUAUCUACUGACAGGUCUAUUUGUCUCCCUGUUACACUGUGAGCUCCGUGAGGGCAGAAACAAUGUUAGUAUUUUCACUGCUGUGUCCCCAGCGCCUGGUCCGGGGCCCGGCACACAGCAGGCAUAUAAUAAGCAUGUGUUGAAUCAAUAAAGGCAUCAAAGAAUAAACCAAUACAUCAAUCAAUAAA